rnacentral:rRNA from 1 species
GAUCAUGGCUCAGAUUGAACGCUGGCGGCAGGCCUAACACAUGCAAGUCGAGCGGCAGCGGGAGGAAGCUUGCUUCCUCGCCGGCGAGCGGCGGACGGGUGAGUAAUGUCUGGGGAUCUGCCCGAUGGAGGGGGAUAACCACUGGAAACGGUGGCUAAUACCGCAUAACGUCGCAAGACCAAAGUGGGGGACCUUCGGGCCUCACACCAUCGGAUGAACCCAGAUGGGAUUAGCUAGUAGGUGGGGUAAUGGCUCACCUAGGCGACGAUCCCUAGCUGGUCUGAGAGGAUGACCAGCCACACUGGAACUGAGACACGGUCCAGACUCCUACGGGAGGCAGCAGUGGGG